rnacentral:rRNA from 1 species
GACGAACGCUGGCGGCGUGCUUAACACAUGCAAGUCGAACGGAACGGCCCUGCCUUUGUGCGGUGCUCGAGUGGCGAACGGGUGAGUAACACGUGAGUUACCUGCCCUUGACUUUGGGAUAACUUCAGGCAACUUGGGCUAAUACCGGAUAGGAUUUCCUGCUGCAUGGUGGGGGUUGGAAAGUUUCGGCGGUUGGUGAUGGACUCGCGUCUUAUCAGCUUGUUGGUGGGGUAGUGUCUUACCAAGGCUUUGACGGGUAGCCGGUCUGAGAGGGUGACCGGCCACAUUGGGACUGAAAUACGGCCCAGACUCCUACCGGAGGCAGCAGAGCGGAAUAUUGCACAAUGCGCGGAAGCCUGAUGCAGCAACGCAGCGUGCGGGAUGACGGCCUUCGGGUUGUAUACCGCAUCCGCCUGUGACGAAGCGUGAGUGACAGUAAUGGGUAAAGAAGCACCGGCUAACUACGUG